rnacentral:misc_RNA from 1 species
GAAUUGCGAUAUGUAAUGUGAAUUGCAGAAUUCAGUGAAUCAUCGAAUCUUUGAACGCACCUUGCACCCUUUGGUAUUCCGAAGGGUAUGCCUGUUUGAGUGUCAUUAAAUUCUCAACUUUAAAGAUUUUGUUAUCUUUGAAGCUUGGACUAUGGAGGUUAUUUGCAGGCGAUUAACAUUGUCAGCUCCUCUUAAAUGCAUUAGCGGAACUCUUAAGUACCAGCUUUGGUUUGAUAAGUAUAUCUAUGCCGUCGCUGUGAACUGUCAUGUUCAGCUUCUAAUGGUCUUCGGACUGUCUCUAACGAGGCAUACACUUUAAGCUUGACCUCAAAUCAGGUAGGACUACCCGCUGAACUUAA